AUUUCACUGACUAGAAUUACCAGUACUAUGUCAAAUAAGAGUGACUAGUUUGGACAUAUUUUUUCACAAUCCUGGUAGAAUAAAAGCAUUCAUUUUUUCAUGGUUAAGUAUAUGACUGAUGAAUGCCAGAUGCCUCUAGUGAGCCACCUUGAAUCACUAUUCUGAAUACAUCUUGAGUAAAAAGAGAAAAUUGCUCAUGUUUCCAUGUCUAUCUGAAUCAUGUUAUUGGACCAUGAGAGCAAGCAGCUGGAUCUCAUUCUGUCCAGGCUAUUGCUAAGGCAGGCUGGCUGCCUUCAUCUUCCCCAGUAUUCUAGGAUAACCUCAAAGAAAUCACAACAGCUUGUUUUCUACAAUUAAAACAUUUGGGUUUUGAUAGUGUGCAUGGUCUACAAAGAAGUGAGAAGUGUAGCUGUUUGUAUGGAAUCUUAUGGUGAACAUUGCUGGCUCCAACAUAUAACUUGAUUGGUGCGACAUCAAGGUAAAUGAAUCCUCAAAGAGCUAGCAAAUGGAUCAAAUAAAAGUA
rnacentral:lncRNA from 1 species